AUGUCCUCCCCUCCCCCCCCCCGCGCCCCCCCCCCCCCCUGGGCCGCUCUCGUGGCCGCGGCCGAGGCUCUGGGGGGGGGCCCGGGGGGUCCCGACGUGGCGAUUUUGGGGUGCUGGGGGGGGCCCGGGGGGGUCCCCACCGUGUUCCAGCACGGGCCGGGACCCCUGGGAGCCGCCACGCGGAAAUUCCUGCCCCACAUCCAGCGGGAGCUGCUCCGGCAGGCCCAAAAUCCCCCAAAUUCACCCCAAAAUCUGCCCCAGAACCCGCCAAAUUCACCCCAAAAUCAGCCCCAAAAUCCCCAUUUCGCACCCCAAAAUCCGCCCCAAAAUGAACCCCAAAAUUCUCCAUUUUCACCCCAAUAUUCUGAAUUUUCUUCCCAAAAUCCUCCCCAAAAUCCCCAAUUUGCACCCCAAAAUCAGCCCCAAAAUCCCCAAUUCGCACCCCAAAAUCCGCCCCAAAAUCCCCAAUUUUCACCCCAAAAUCAGCCCCAAAAUCCACCAAAUUCACCCCAAAACCCACCCCAAAAUCCCCAAUUCUCACCCCAAAAUCCGCCCCAAAAUCCCCAAUUCUCACCCCAAAAUCCGCCCCAAAAUGAACCCCAAAAUCCACAAUUCGCACCCCAAAAUCUGCCCCAAAACCCCCAAUUCUCACCCCAAAACCCGCCAAAUUCACCCCUAAAUCAGCCCCAAAAUGAACCCCAACAUUCCCCAUUUUUACCCCAAAAUGAACCCCAAUAUUCUCAAUUUUCACCCCAAAAUGAACCCCAAAAUUCUCAAUUUUCACCCCAAGAUCCUCCCCUAAAUUCUCAAUUUUCACCCCAAAAUCCUCCACAAAAUUCUCAAUUUUCUCCCAAUAUUCUCAAAUUUCACCCCAAAAUCCCCCCCAAUAUUCUCAAUUUUUACCCCAAAAUGCAGCCCAAUAUUCUCAAUUUUCUCCCCAAAAUUCUCCAUUUUCACCCCAAAAUCUUCCCCAAUAUUCUCAAUUUUCUUCCCAAUAUUCUCAAUUUUCACCCCAAAAUGUUCAAUUUUCUCCCCAAAACCAGCCCCCAAAAUGAACCCCAAAAUGCUCCUUUUUCACCCCAAAAUCAGCCCCGAAAUCCUCCCAAAAAUCCUCCAUUUUCACCCCAAAAUUUCCCCCAAAAUCCUCAAUUUUCACCCCAAAAUCCUCAAUUUUCACCCCAAAAUUUCCCCCAAAUUCCUCCCCUAAAACCCCCCAAAAUCCCCCCAAAUCCCCCCAAAAAUCCCCCCAAAAUUCCCCCAAAUCUCCCCUGGGACCCCCCAAAAAGCCCCAAAAACGCCCCAAAACUUCUGCCCCAAAUUCCGCCGAAUUCGCCCCAAAAAUCCCGUCCGGGACCCCCCAAAAUCCGCGACCCCCCCCCGGAGCCCCCCCGGAACAGGGGGGAGGGGGCGGAUCCCAGUGACGUCACCGGUGAGGGGGAGGUGGACGAGGAGUGGGGGAGGGGCGGCGAAGAGGCGGAGCCCGAGUGGGACAGCGACGGUGGGGGAGGGGCAAAAUUUGGGGGGUGGAACCAAAAAUUUGGGGAGGGAGGGGAAAAAUUUGGGGGGG
ensembl:lncRNA